UUUUAGCCCCGAUAGAAGUGGAAAUCCUUUUUGUUUUUAUUUUCAAAAACAAAAAGAUUGGAACGUAUAGCGGGAUUAGCU
rnacentral:sRNA from 1 species